CCUACGGGGGGCAGCAGUGAGGAAUAUUGGUCAAUGGACGAGAGUCUGAACCAGCCAAGUAGCGUGAAGGAUGACUGCCCUAUGGGUUGUAAACUGCUUUUAUAGGGGAAUAAAAUGUUCCACGUGUGGGAUUUUGUAUGUACCAUAUGAAUAAGGAUCGGCUAACUCCGUGCAAGCAGCCGCGGUAAUACGGAGGAUCCGAGCGUUAUCCGGAUUUAUUGGGGGUAAAGGGAGCGUAGGUGGAUUGUUAAGUCAGUUGUGAAAGUUUGCGGCUCAACCGUAAAAUUGCCGUUGAAACUGGCAGUCUUGAGUACAGUCGAGGUGGGCGGAAUUCGUUGUGUAGCGGUGACAUGCUU
rnacentral:rRNA from 1 species